AAGUGAGCAAUGAGAACACGGGAGGAACAAGGGUAUUUGAAAGUCUUGCAGGAUCUUUCCGAAAACGAUUAUGGCUGUGUGAGGAACUGCAUAUAAAUUUACACCCAAAGUAAUCCUUUUGAAGCAGCUGAAAGUCUGAAGACUGAUUUUUUUAAGAGGACAUUUCAAGGAUAAUUUCUUACCAGCUACCAAUGAUCUGCCCUGGCUGUGUCCUAAAAACCCCCAUCUCCAUUAUUUGCUAAUUUGCUGGUCAGUUUACCUCUCUUCUUCUGCAGACCUGCACCAUAUAUAUGCCUUCUGCCUCUCCUCCUUGCUUCUUCACACCCUUCCCCUUUCCCCUGACCCACCUCCCUCUCCCAGUUUGCCUCUAGGUGGGAUCAGAGUGAGGAAGUGAACUUCUUUGGGUCCAGUUUACUUCUGUCAUCGUGAAAGGGGAGUAUGGGCAAGGGUCAGGGUCAGGUCCUAUGCUAGCUGGUAGCCAUUUUAGAGAUUCUUAGGAAAAGUCGUUUUAUAAUUUAAGUGCCAAUAGGACCAAGGAAGAGCAAAUUCUCUGUGGAGAAGGAGGAUGGAAGUUUACCCCUGGUGGACACCUCUCUGACAGCACACCAGCUGGGGCCUCCCACGUGGCUGUGGAAUUCACAUGGAAUUUGGCUAGUCAUUUAACCUCUGCUUCCUCCACUUCCUCAGCUGGAUAAUGGGGACAGCAUUUCCUAGCCGACAUCAUGAGACUUUAUAAAGGGGAGCAAAUACUGAUGACAAGCAAUUUCCAACAGGAAGAGCCAAAGGCUCAAGGUUCAGUUCCGCAGUAACAAGCACUGGAUAUGCAAACCUUCUCUAAAGUUACGUGUCAGGUGUCCCAUAGGUGGCUUUAGGCUUUGUUGGCCUUUCUCUGCCACAGUUUCCUCUUUGCAAAAUAAAGAUGAUAAUAGGACCUAUCUCACAGAACUGUUUUGAAGAUUAAAUGAGAAACAAAGUGUAGUAUCUGGUAUUCAUGAUAAAUGUUAGUUACUUGUUUCACCUGCUCUGCCCCUCAUUUUAUCAUGUAAUAAGUAUCACCAAUCCAUGAACAGAAGCUAGAAUUAUGAGAGAAUCCUAGAAUGGGAGGCAAAAACUCCCUCAUUUUUAUAGACAAGAAAAAAGAAAUGCAGUAAGACUGGGUGCGCUGCCCAGGGCUACCUGAUUCAUUAGCAAGAAAGCAGGAGCUACAGUUCAGGUCUCCUAAUUGUCAGGUCAGUGCAAGUCUCAGUUUUCAUUCCUUUGAAGACUGUGUUGGUAUUUUUAUCCCCAGAUAACCCUUUUUCACUCCUAUUUUAACCCUAAGACCAGUUCAUACGAUUAACCACUGCUUUCUCUAAGUCUCCUGCAGCUCCCAGGAAACCUGCAGAUAACCUCCCCUUCCCAAAAGCCAUACCCCACCCCAACGCCCCUGCAAAAGGCCAGGAAAGGUAACGCUUUCUCAGAGACCUGAGGAAGCUACUAAUGGGGACAGCAGGUGAGGAAGGAGGCGGUGGAACUGCAGCUGCUGGCAAAGGUUGCCCUAGUAACCGUGCGGGCUCCAUUCAGGAAGCCAGCCCAACUCCAAGAUGCAAAAUGAUCGCCUUCACGCGGCUACUGCAAGCACAAAGGAACCAGAGGAGCCCUGAUAUAGCUGGAAGAAAGGGAGGCACAGAGCGAGGUGGGGGCCCAUGCUGUCAGUUACAACCUUCCACCUUCCACAGAAGAAAAAGAAGGAAAGAGAAUAGCUCUUUGAAUCUUCUGGCCUAUGUGAACCGUAAAAACCACCCAUUUAACGUGAGUCCUUUGGUGAGAAUAGAGGGAAACAGGCACCCCUCUGUUCACCAGCCUUCUGAAACAAUAUGUCAGGAGAAGGGGGAGAAACCUCAAACAUUGCAACUUUAUGGAGGCUCUAAGCUCUUCAUACUCUCUCUCCUUUAUUCAGACUGGUGACAAAGACCAUUUGCUCCCAAUUUAUUGGAAACUUUUUUUGUUUUUUUCACAGCUUGAGCUGCUUAGAUGCAGCAAGCUCCCUCUCCCCAAAUUGCCGUCAGACACUUGCUGAAUGGGCCAGGCUCAAUUAUGCUCCCUCCACAGGUUCAGCUCACACUGUGACCCUGCAUGGCUUCCUGCUAUUCAUAUGUGUUACUUCCCCUUUGUGGUAAUGGCUUGUGGCACUUAGCCAGAAAACAUUAUUAAUUUCAGAAGUGGACUGACAAACAACAAACCCACAGUGAAACGAGAGGAAGUGCUGGGGAGGCCAGCUGUCGGCUUGAGCCAAGCAGUAGGAACUCAAUGUAUACAGGUUCUAGGAGGAAAGAGAUAAUAAUCCACAAAGAGGAAAUGCACUAAAAUUAUCCACAGCCCAUAGUUUAAAAAAAAAAAAAAAAAA
ensembl:lncRNA